GACGAACGCUGGCGGCGUGCUUAACACAUGCAAGUCGAGCGAUGAAGCUUCUUCGGAAGUGGAUUAGCGGCGGACGGGUGAGUAACACGUGGGUAACCUGCCUCAUAGAGGGGAAUAGCCUUCCGAAAGGAAGAUUAAUACCGCAUAAGAUUGUAGCUUCGCAUGAAGCAGCAAUUAAAGGAGUAAUCCGCUAUGAGAUGGACCCGCGUCGCAUUAGCUAGUUGGUGAGGUAACGGCUCACCAAGGCGACGAUGCGUAGCCGACCUGAGAGGGUGAUCGGCCACAUUGGGACUGAGACACGGCCCAGACUCCUACGGGAGGCAGCAGUGGGGAAUAUUGCACAAUGGGGGAAACCCUGAUGCAGCAACGCCGCGUGAGUGAUGACGGUCUUCGGAUUGUAAAGCUCUGUCUUUAGGGACGAUAAUGACGGUACCUAAGGAGGAAGCCACGGCUAACUACGUGCCAGCCGCCGCGGUAAGAC
rnacentral:rRNA from 1 species